CCUACGGGCGGCAGCAGUGAGGAAUAUUGGUCAAUGGACGCAAGUCUGAACCAGCCAUGCCGCGUGCAGGAAGACGGCUCUAUGAGUUGUAAACUGCUUUUGUACGAGGGUAAACGCAGAUACGCGUAUCUGUCUGAAAGUAUCGUACGAAUAAGGAUCGGCUAACUCCGUGCCAGCAGCCGCGGUAAUACGGAGGAUUCAAGCGUUAUCCGGAUUUAUUGGGUUUAAAGGGUGCGUAGGCGGUCGGAUAAGUUAGAGGUGAAAGCCUGAGGCUCAACUUCGGAAUUGCCUCUGAUACUGUUCGGCUAGAGAGUAGUUGCGGUAGGCGGAAUGUAUGGUGUAGCGGUGAAAUGCUUAGAGAUCAUAAAGAACACCGAUUGCGAAGGCAGCUUACCAAGCUACUUCUGACGUUGAGGCACGAAAGCGUGGGGAGCAAACAGGAUUAGAUACCCUAGUAGUC
rnacentral:rRNA from 1 species